UACGGGGGGGGUAAGCGUUGUUCGGAAUUACUGGGCGUAAAGGGCUCGUAGGCGGCCAACUAAGUCAUACGUGAAAUCCCUCAGCUUAACUGGGGAACUGCGUGUGAUACUGGAUGGCUUGGAUUUGGGAGAGGGAUGCGGAAUUCCAGGUGUAGCGGUGAAAUGCGUAGAGAUGGGGGAGAACACUCGUGGCGAAGGCGGCUUACUGGUCCGGUUCUGACGCUGAGGAGCGAAAGCGUGGGGAGCGAACAGG
rnacentral:rRNA from 1 species